rnacentral:lncRNA from 1 species
UUGCUUGGGUGAGAUCUGACUUUCCAGAGCUGUCAAGCAGGGAGAGGAAGAGACUCCGGGAGGCAGUAGGACUGUUGUGUCUGUGGAGAACCUAGUUUUCUCCAGUCAGUCUCAGGCCUGCUGAUUCUGCUGCCUCUGCCUGCUGAGUGUCUGAAGCUUCCCCCGAGGCCUUGGCUUGCUGCUCCGCUCCCUUGGGUCGGUUUGUGGCUCGUGUGGGAGAGCAAAGAAGGUAGCAGCCCCCUCCUCCCACUUCCCUCUGUGAGAUGAGGGAAGUGCUGGCCUGGGCCUAGGCAUAGACUCAGAAUGGGUAGGGCUGCUAAGGGGACCUAGCCACAGUCACCAGUUUUCUCUCAGCGUGUGGCUGAACUGGAACCUGCAGGCUUUCCUGUCCCACUUGGGCCUGCCCUUCUUCACUGCCCAUCCUGUGUUUGUGCCCGCUUAGCUUUGUGGAGUGGACACUGAGAAGCACAACUCAGGGGCUUGGCCAGGAAUUAACUAUGGUCUGGGCAGAGCGGGGAUUGAAGUCAUCAGAGUCACAGGCAGUUCCCCAGGAAAAGCCCAGUGCCAGCUUCCUUCCAGGGCCAGGCCACUGCCUUCCUGGCUCCCUUCCCUGUCCCUGCGUCCCCAGCCCUGCGCCUUCCUUGCUAUUUGGAUUAAAGCCUCUGUUUUACACCUG